rnacentral:misc_RNA from 1 species
AAUAAUAAUAAUAAUAAUAAAUAGUGCAGUACAAGGCAGCAAUGCAAGUCAACUUAAACAUGGUCCUAGGACAAGAAAUUCCAAAACAAAAAAUAAAGUGCAGGUUAAGAUACUAAUGAGGCAGCUUGUACAUAAGCUUACAGUGUGUUUAGGCCAUGACAAUGUAUCCGAAAACAACUCUAAUGACAUUGGGUAUGAGUCAUGACAUAUCUCGUGAUGCAGAAAAAUUAUUUCAUGAUUAACUUUGUUACAACUGAUGGUUAGGAAUAAUCGUAGUUGUGUUGUAUAAAAUUUAAAGUCUAUUUGAAAUGCUUUCGUUCACAGUUUUAUUUAUUGUAGAGAUAUUACUGAAUAUAUAUCUACUUUGAAAAAUCAAUGAAUUUAAAUAACAGUAUAUCAUUUCAAACAAUAAUUCAUAGAUAAAGCAAGAAGGAAAAAAUGUAAAAAUGAAACUUACAGUGUCUGCUACGACAUGGUCUAGCGAAGGAACAUAUCCAUGCAAUCCAUCACUCCCG